ACAGACAGACAGUCCUCAUCAUGUGAUUGUAGCAGUCUUAUUCACUACAGACAGACAGUCCUCAUCAUGUGAUUGUAGCAGUCUUAUUCACUACAGACAGACAGUCCUCAUCAUGUGAUUGUAGCAGUCUUAUUCACUACAGACACAGUCCUCAUCAUGUGAUUGUAGCAGUCUUAUUCACUACAGACAAACAGUCCUCAUCAUGUGAUUGUAGCAGUCUUAUUCACUACAGACAGACAGUCCUCAUCAUGUGAUUGUAGCAGUCUUAUUCACUACAGACAGACAGUCCUCAUCAUGUGAUUGUAGCAGUCUUAUUCACUACAGACAGACAGUCCUCAUCAUGUGAUUGUAGCAGUCUUAUUCACUACAGACAGACAGUCCUCAUCAUGUGAUUGUAGCAGUCUUAUUCACUACAGACAGACAGUCCUUAUCAUGUGAUUGUAGCAGUCUUAUUCACUACAGACAGACAUUCCUCAUCAUGUGAUUGUAGCAGUCUUAUUCACCACAAGGAAAAGGAAGCCAAGUUAAUGUUUUUAUUUGAUUUAUUCAGACAAUAUUUGAAGAACGAUCAUUGUUAUUUAUGAUAUUAAAAAAAGGAAAUGUUUUAAACUAAAACGUAGAUAUCCUGUGUUGUAUAAAGUUUAGGACAGGUCCAACAUUUGUCAGUUUCCCUCCUCUGGUCCUCCAGUACCCCCAACAGCACACGUUGUAGCCCCGGACAAACACACCUGAUUCAGCUCAUCGAGGGCUUGAUGAUUAGUUGACAAGUUGAAUCAGGUGUGCUUGUCCAGGGCUACAAUAGAAAUGUGUACUGUUGUGGGUACUGGAGGACUGGAGUUGGGAAACACUGAUUUAUGUCAUAAAUAUCCUAUACCAAAUCAAUGUUUCAAACUUCCAAAGGAUAAAAAACAUGCGAAGAAGAAUGUUGUCUUUGCUUUGUAAUGACAUGUUUUGUGCACUAUUAUUUCAAACAGUUAAUGUAUUGUUUGAGAACCGACCCCAUUUUCUUUACUUCAUAAAGAUUCAAUGAACACUCAUUUAAAACCUCCCUCACCUAACCUUGGUUCUACCUACUACACCCUCUCCCUUAGCCUGAAUUCCAGACCUAGUUUUGUGCUGACAUUCCACUCGUUGUACUCUGUGUCAUUGUCAAGCAUUGGCAUGAAAAGGAGUGGUAUGAUAGCAGAAACAGUGAUACGCAGGCUACCUCUCCCCACCCCUCUGCUUGUAAUACACUGAUAUAACUAACUCAUGCUUCCAGCACUACUAUGCCUUGCAUGCGCUGCCUACCGAGAAAAACAAUCAACCAAUCAGUGAAGUAAGCAGCAUACCAGUUCCCAUAAUGCACUGUGAUUGUCUGAAAGGGACUUAUGUUUGUUGGGUAGUACCACAUGUAUUUUGGUUGGAAUAUUUAAUUUGCUUAGAUUUCCCUUUCGUCUCAUGAUCUCAUUCACUCUUAUCGUCCCACUUGACCCACAGCAUUGGUCUGGUUUCCUAGGUCUCCAAUUCUCACAACUUAGGACUACUGUACUGACUCAUUACUGAUAAAAAAAAAACUUCUGUAUUUAUUUUACAUCUGUCUGAUUGGCUUAUUAUCAUGAUGUGACACAUGCAUCGUAGAGUCUGAUUGGCUUAUUAUCAUGACGUGACACAUGCAUCGUAGAGUCUGAUUGGCUUAUUAUCAUGAUGUGACACAUGCAUAGUAUGGUCUGAUUGGCUUAUUAUCAUGAUGUGACACAUGCAUCGUAGAGUCUGAUUGGCUUAUUAUCAUGAUGUGACACAUGCAUAGUAUGAAUAACGUGUAGAGGAAAAUAAUUGCCUUAAUCUAAAGUAAUUUUAUCAUACAACCAUAAUCUACUGUAAUUCUGCAGUAUGAGAUGAACUAUAAUGAUCUACUGUAUGUCAAGUGGAUUGUUUUACUUGGUCCAUUGUGGUAGAUGGUAUUGGUACCUGCCUACAGUCUGGUGGCAUUCCAGGUUGUUUACAUUACAGACAUGUUGAUACAGAUCUGAUUGAACUAAGAUAGCUACAAAUGUGAAAGAGAGUAGUGUUUAACAUUGCAGGAACCCCAUCAAUUACUUAAUGAUCUGUGCAAAGUGUAGGCAACCUCUCACAGAGCAAUGUGUAGGCAGCCUGGAACACCCACUCUUUCUCACAGAGCAAUGUGUAGGCAGCCUGGAACGCCCCCUCUUUCUCACAGAGCAAUGUGUAGGCAGCCUGGAACACCCCCUCUUUCUCACAGAGCAACAUGUAGGCAGCCUGGAACACCCCCUCUUUCUCACAGAGCAAUGUGUAGGCAGCCUGGAACGCCCCCUCUUUCUCACAGAGCAACAUGUAAGCAGCGUGGUUCUCCCUCUCUGUCUCACAGAGCAACAUGUAGGCAGAGUGGAACUCUCUCUCUGUCUCACACAGCAACAUGUAGGCAGCGUGGAACUCCCUCUCUGUCUCACAGAGUAACAUGUAGGCAGCGUGGAACUCCCCCUCUUUCUCACAGAGCAACAUGUAAGCAGCGUGGUUCUCCCUCUCUGUCUCACAGAGCAACAUGUAGGCAGAGUGGAACUCUCUCUCUGUCUCACACAGCAACAUGUAGGCAGCGUGGAACUCCCUCUCUGUCUCACAGAGCAACAUGUAGGCAGCGUGGAACUCCCUCUCUGUCUCACAGAGCAACAUGUAGGCAGCGUGGAACUCCCUCUCUGUCUCACACAGCAACAUGUAGGCAGCGUGGAACUCCCUCUCUGUCUCACAGAGUAACAUGUAGGCAGCGUGGAACUCCCUCUCUGUCUCACAGAGCAACAUGUAGGCAGCAUGGUUCUCCCUCUCUGUCUCACAGAGCAACAUGUAGGCAGCGUGGAACUCCCUCUCUGUGUCACAGAGCAACAUGUAGGCAGUGUGGAACACCCUCUGUCUCACAGAGCAACGUGUAGGCAGAGUGGAACUCUCUCUGUCUCACAGAGUAACAUGUAGGCAGCGUGGAACUCCCUCUCUGUCUCACUGAGUAACAUGUAGGCAGCGUGGUUCUCCCUCUCUGUCUCACAGAGCAACAUGUAGGCAGCGUGCUUCUCCCUCUCUGUCUCACAGAGCAACAUGUAGGCAGUGUGGUUCUCCUUCUCUGUCUCACAGAGCAACAUGUAGUCAGCGUGGAACUCCCUCUCUUUCUCACAGAGCAGCUAUGAUGGGACUCAUCCCAAGGCAGACACAGACGGUGUUCAGUCAGUCAGUCGCCUUAAUCAUGUGUUUCUCUUCUCUUCCCCUGGCUGUGUGUAAAGCAACGGAUAACUGAACUGUGUCUGUCUGUCUACUCUGUGCUGAGGAUCACUCCACUGCUUAGCCCCAACCUACCGUCAGGUUCCUCCCAUAGGCUGUAUAGGGUUCUCCCUUUCCCUCUUUGACAGGUGUGUUCAAAUCAAAUGUUAUUUGUCACAUGCGCCGAAUACAACAGGUGUAGACUUUACUGUGAAAUGCUUAUUUACGAGCCCUUUCCCAACAAUGCAGUCAAAAAGUAAGAAUAAUUAGCAAAAUAAAAAGGGAAUAGUAACACAAUAAAAUAACAGUAACGAGACUAUAUACAAGGAGUACCAGUACAGAGUCAAUGUGCAGGGGUACGAGGUAACUGAGGUAAUAUGUACAUGUAGGUAGGGGUAAAAGUGACGAGGCAAUCGGGAUAAGAUAAUAAACAGAUUAGCAGCUGUGUGUGUGUGUCUGUCGUCAUUAUGCAUGUCUGAGUGUGGGUGUGUGUGUUCUGCCUUUAUAGAUCUGUGGGAACUAUUUCUCUAGCAAAUUAGCAUCAGAUAGAUUGCUUUGCUUUCUGUUGGCAGCUCUGUUCUUAUUGGCUCGUUUGGCCCAAUCAUGUUGUCCAUUAACUGGACAGAAUGCGGGACUUCAACGUCAGUAACAAUUUGACCAGUGAGAUGUGUCUGGAUUCUGGAAUCAGAACCGAGGUUGAGUGUUCUAAGGGUUUUAAAUUCCUCUUGGUUGUAUGAUAACGGUCUGUGUUUACAUCCAGAGAUUGUGAUGUAAACAUCCACAUAGUACCACACCAAGCAGUAUUGCGAUAUCUUUUCAAUUCUAGGCUAUAUUCGGUACUUCCAUAAGCUAACUAACUGCAACUUUUUAAUAUAUAACUGUAAAAAGUGAAAAGUAUUAAUUUCAAAGAUCAUCUUGAUGAACCAUUGCAUAUUGCUUCAGUAAUGGCUUCAGUAAAGAGCUAACGGAAUAAACAGUGAUGCCAAUAAUCAAUCCAUUAAUUAUAUUUGUAUUUUAUUGUUAUUAUUGCACAAACAAAGUGGUAUAUUGUUACUUUUCUGACUGAGAUUUUGAUUUGUCAGUGGUGACAUGGUGGUGGGAUUGUACAGGUGUCACGAAGCUGUCAUAUCAUGCCUGUAUCUGUGCUCCAAUGAUUGUACUCAUUCAUGGCCAGGCCACAGAUACUGUGUUGGAGGUUUUGGGACAAUAGGCUAAACAGCUAAAAACAACAGCAACAAACAACAACAAAUUGAUAUGUUGGGUGAAUGGAUGCUCAUUGUUGCCUGUGUGACUUCAGUGUUAGAUAUUUCUUGAAAUGGUUCACGUUUUAGUCCUGUGCUGCAACGGUUUAGAAAUAUGUGUACAGUCAGAAGGAAAGACUGUAACAAGGGGAAGAUCUACAUUGUACAUAACUGUAAUUAUUUAUGUUUAUUUUAUCGUUCAUACCAUAUCAAUGCCUUGUACAGUGUGGUUUUUUCCAGUUCAUUUAAAAUUAUUUUGUAUUUUAUUUUUAUAAACUGGUUAUAAAUAAAAUACUCAUUCAGCAUGCAGAAAAUAA
ensembl:lncRNA